rnacentral:rRNA from 1 species
ACGAACGCUGGCGGCGUGCCUAAUACAUGCAAGUCGAGCGAAGUUUUUCUGGUGCUUGCACUAGAAAAACUUCGCGGCGAACGGGUGAGUAACACGUAAAGAACCUGCCUCAUAGACUGGGACAACUAUUGGAAACGAUAGCUAAUACCGGAUAACAGUAUUUCUCGCAUGAGAGAUAUUUAAAAGUUGGUUAUGCUAACACUAUGAGAUGGCUUUGCGGUGCAUUAGCUAGUUGGUGGGGUAAAGGCCCACCAAGGCGACGAUGCAUAGCCGACCUGAGAGGGUGAUCGGCCACACUGGGACUGAGACACGGCCCAGACUCCUACGGGAGGCAGCAGUAGGGAAUCUUCCGCAAAGGGCGAAAGCCUGACGGAGCAACGCCGCGUGAGUGAAGAAGGAUUUCGGUUCGUAAAGCUCUGUUGUUAGGGAAGAAUGGAUAUGUAGUAACUAUACAUGUAAGAGACGGUACCUAACCAGAAAGCCACGGCUAACUACGUG